rnacentral:rRNA from 1 species
UGCGUAGGCGGAAGAUUAAGUCAGUGAUGAAAUCUUGCAGCUCAACUGUAGAACUGUCAUUGAUACUGAUUUUCUUGAAUACAGUUGAGGUAGGCGGAAUAUGUAAUGUAGCGGUGAAAUGCUUAGAUAUUACAUAGAACACCAAUUGCGAAGGCAGCUUACUAAACUGUGAUUGACGCUGAGGCACGAAAGCGUGGGGAGCGAACAGGAUUAGAUACCCUGGUAGUCC